GCUUAACCAACCACCAUCCUUAGUAGCAAUAGUAGCAGCUUUUUUUUUUUUUAAUAACCCAACUAAGUUAGUCAGAUUGUUGGCUUGGUAAUCACAAUAUUUCAAGUUCGACUCCUAGUAAGAGUCGCCUACUUAAUUUUUUAGUUUGAGCCGGUUAACUAUAGACAAUUUAAGGUGAUUUACCUCCUUGUAGUCCUCUAGUGGUUAGAGUCACAAGGUGGGGUUUACUCAAUGCAUACCAUUGGAUAGUGACAGCGAGUUUCCCUUGUCAUCUUAGCAGCUUUUACUUCAUUGCAGUUAUUUAUGAACUUGGUUAGCUCCUGAACAACAACAAAAAAGGGAUCAUACAGUUAAUUGAAGCAAAUCCAAAAGCAUAAAUACUUUCUAUGAAACAUUCUUUUAACUUUGACCUUUUUUUUCCCUAAUCAGUAUGUAGGUCAAGUAAACAGCAUCUCAAACAAGCAGAUCCCUCCAAAUCAGAUCACAAAUAAGUGAGGAUCAUUUCAUAC